rnacentral:ncRNA from 1 species
CCAGGGGUUAACGUCUAACUGUUAAGCCACAGAAGAAAUCUGCUCCUGAAAGCCGCCCGAAAGGGUGAGGUGGUGUCCGGAGCGUGCGAGCUCGAAUUUAAAGGCUAGUCCUCCAAUGCGGAGGGCGACAUCCUCAAAUUGCGGGGAACUCCUAAAGCUUUCACUCCAAAGCCGGUUCGCGAAAGCCGCCGGUGGCCAGGUUAACAGCCUCGGGUACUGGAAAAACGUGGAAGAUGCGACAAUGGACAAUCCGCAGCCAAGCCCCUAAAGGCUCCCCGUCGAGGGACGCCCACGGGGAAGGUUCAGAGACUUAACGGGGAUGGGUAUGCGCCGAGAGGCGCCUGCUUAAGAUAAAGUCCGGCCCUGCGCGAGAGCGCGGG